CUUAGGAUGCCUUUGCUUAGAAAAAACUCUAAUUAUAUUAUUAAAAGCAAAUUAAUCAACAGAUUUUGAGUUGGUAAAACCAAGACAAAUAAAGUUAUAAAAUGUAUUGCAUUUCGAUUAAAUCAAAGGACAUUUUAACCAUAUACUUCUAUAUUGAUCCAUCAAUUUUAAGCUAUUCUGAUCUGUAAUUAGAGAUAUCACAUUUUGGCCAUAUCGAAGAGCAAUGUAACUCUAUCUGUCAGUGGCUCCAAUAUUAUAAUUGACAAUGGAUUGGUACGGCUUACAAUAAUGAAACCACAAGGACUACUCACAGCCAUAAAGUAUGCUGGAAAAGACAACUUAUUAGACACCAAAUCCAACCAAAUUAACAGAGGUUACUGGGACAUCAAGUGGAACUUGCCAGGAGGCCAACAUACCUAUUGUACAUAUUCUGAAUUGGAUUUGUGGUUUUUUUUAAUUAAUUUCUGGGGGUUUAAAAUUUAGAAUUUUUAAGGAAAUGGGUUGUGAUCUUUGUGCACAGGCUAAAGGGAUCCGAAUAUAGCGUGAUCAGUUUGAGCAACGAUAAUCUGGAGGUCUCGUUUAAGUCUAGGUAUGACCCUUCGGUUAGUGGAACAAGGCUUCCCCUAACUAUAGAUCAAAGGUGGAUACAUUACUCACACAGACAACUUAUUUUGAUAAA